AUUUAAAUAGUUUAAUUAAAAUAAUGAUUUGUGGGAUCAUAGAUAUAUCAGAAGAUAUUUUAGAUA
rnacentral:tRNA from 1 species